UUUAUUUCGUAGAGGCAAUAUCGCAGCCCAUGAGCUUUUCCGAGGCGUGAUUAUUGCUGCUUGAAAACGUACUCUGCCGAGAUUUGUUCAAAUACAGUCGGCCUUGGCCAUUUCUUUUGAUUAUCUCUUUGGAGG